rnacentral:tRNA from 1 species
GGUCUUAUAUUCAUGAAAUGAUUUUAAAAUGCAAUUUUAAAGGUGUAUAAAUUUUAUUACUAAGACUU